rnacentral:rRNA from 1 species
UACGUAGGGUGCGAGCGUUAAUCGGAAUUACUGGGCGUAAAGCGUGCGCAGGCGGUUUGCUAAGACAGGUGUGAAAUCCCCGGGCUUAACCUGGGAACUGCGCUUGUAACUGGCAAGCUAGAGUGUGGCAGAGGGGGGUGGAAUUCCAGGUGUAGCAGUGAAAUGCGUAGAUAUCUGGAGGAACACCGAUGGCGAAGGCAGCCCCCUGGGCUAACACUGACGCUCAUGCACGAAAGCGUGGGGAGCAAACAGG